CUGUCAAGUCACUGAGGAUUGGCUUUGUUCCUCUUCCAAACGCCACAGCCCCUGCCAGGGAGUGUCUUGCCUGCACUUCUGUCUGGGUCUAAUACUCUCUCCUCCCUCUGUGUUUCCAGACCUACGGCUGGCAGCAGCUGCCCUCCAGAUGGAGUUGUUCCAAAGGAUGGGGAAGCACCUUCUUGAAAGGAGCAUAUCUCACAGAGGCAGCAUCAGCGUUAGAGCCAGGUAAAAUCUGAGCCCAGCCACUUGCACUAGUUAAUUUCUCUGAGCCUUCAUUUCUUAUUUGCAAAAUGGGGCUAACAGUAUAAUCCAUA
rnacentral:lncRNA from 1 species